rnacentral:lncRNA from 1 species
UCUUAGUACAAUGACACAUCUAGUUUGUAUAUCUGGACUACAUUAGGAUUAUCAGAUCUUUGACCAAAUAAGAUGCUUGAUAAAAGUUUAAACAUGAAUUAAAAGAUUGAUCAAAGACCAUGGACAGGCUAUUUCUGGAGAAGGCUAAGAUCUAAUCCUUCUCUAGCAAUCCAAUAAAUAUAUCUUGACAGAUUAUUUUGGAUAAGACACCAUUUUAGUACUAGGUUGCUUAGUAGUAAUACAGAGAUGGCCUCUGCAUCUUUGCAGAAUAACUAGCUCAGAAAAAGUCUUUCCAGAGCUGAGAUUUCAAGGUUUCCAUCUCAAAAGCCUACUUCAUUCUGGAUUGCGCUCAGCCAUCAUUCUUUCCAGUUCACCUUCAGCUCCAAAAGCUCACAGCAGCAUUAUUUCACAGUGGGCUUUCCAUUAUGUGCCGACUGCACUUGAUCCUGGAGAAGAGCACUUUCCAGGACUUUUCCUAGAGUCCUAGCAAUACAGGUCAUCAAAAACAAGGUCUGAUUUUCCAAAGUCAAUAUUUAGGAAUACUUUUUGCUCUUGGUCACUUCAAAAAUCCACCAGGUAACUAUAAUGGUUAAAAUUAUUCCUUUUUCCUAGUAAGGAACCCUUUUUGAGAUUGGAUCUUUAUGCAUAUUUUGCAGAGAGUGUCUAAGGGAGACUCAACUAAGCUCCAUAGCUGCUAUGAUUGUGAAUAGUUAUGAGACUAUUGACAUGAAUUAGUGAUGCAUUCCCACAGCCCUUCACUCCUUUAUGGUUGAAUUUCAGUGGAUGCCUGGGGGCUCUUCUGCCUUAAGAGAUCCUGUGUCAGAGCCCUAGGAUUUCUCAUCAGUCAAAACACCUUCAAAGUUUGAACUAAAUUCACACAAAAUUAAAUGCUGCCUACUGGAACUAUAAUUGGUUAUGACGUGUCUUCUCUGCAGUGAUUCUUGACAGCUUUGAACGACUUUAUGUCAUUACCUUCUGAGGCUUUGCAAACCAAAUGUAUCAUUUGCUUCACAUGUUUCUUCUGAUGUGCAAACCAAGCAGUAAUAGCAUAAUAUUGAUCUCCAUUUUUUUUUAUACACCUAGGAGUGAACUCUUCCAUUCAUUUACCAUUUUUGCAAGCCUAUAAUUACAAUGCUUUGAUAUUUGGUAAAGUAAAUGGUGCAGCAGAAAUUAU